rnacentral:rRNA from 1 species
AGUGAACGCUGGCGGUAGGCCUAACACAUGCAAGUCGAACGGCAGCACAGUAAGAGCUUGCUCUUACGGGUGGCGAGUGGCGGACGGGUGAGGAAUACAUCGGAAUCUACUUUUUCGUGGGGGAUAACGUAGGGAAACUUACGCUAAUACCGCAUACGACCUACGGGUGAAAGCAGGGGAUCUUCGGACCUUGCGCGAUUGAAUGAGCCGAUGUAGGAUUAGCUAGUUGGCGGGGUAAAGGCCCACCAAGGCGACGAUCCGUAGCUGGUCUGAGAGGAUGAUCAGCCAGACUGGAACUGAGACACGGUCCAGACUCCUACGGGAGGCAGCAGUGGGGAAUAUUGGACAAUGGGCGCAAGCCUGAUCCAGCCAUACCGCGUGGGUGAAGAAGGCCUUCGGGUUGUAAAGCCCUUUUGUUGGGAAAGAAAAGCAGCAGGUUAAUACCCCGCUGUUCUGACGGUACCCAAAGAAUAAGCACCGGCUAACUUCGUG